rnacentral:rRNA from 1 species
AAAGGAAGAUUAAUACCCCAUAAUAUAUUGAAUGGCAUCAUUUGAUAUUGAAAACUCCGGUGGAUAGAGAUGGGCACGCGCAGGAUUAGAUAGUUGGUGAGGUAACGGCUCACCAAGUCAACGAUCCUUAGGGGGCCUGAGAGGGUGAUCCCCCACACUGGUACUGAGACACGGACCAGACUCCUACGGGAGGCAGCAGUGAGGAAUAUUGGACAAUGGGUGAGAGCCUGAUCCAGCCAUCCCGCGUGAAGGAUGACGGCCCUAUGGGUUGUAAACUUCUUUUGUAUAGGGAUAAACCUACUCUCGUGAGAGUAGCUGAAGGUACUAUACGAAUAAGCACCGGCUAACUCCGUGCCAGCAGCCGCGGUAAUACGGAGGGUGCAAGCGUUAUCCGGAUUUAUUGGGUUUAAAGGGUCCGUAGGCGGAUUUGUAAGUCAGUGGUGAAAUCUCACAGCUUAACUGUGAAACUGCCAUUGAUACUGCAAGUCUUGAGUGUUGUUGAAGUAGCUGGAAUAAGUAGUGUAGCGGUGAAAUGCAUAGAUAUUACUUAGAACACCAAUUGCGAAGGCAGGUUACUAAGCAACAACUGACGCUGAUGGACGAAAGCGUGGGGAGCGAACAGGAUUAGAUACCCUGGUAGUCCACGCCGUAAACGAUGCUAACUCGUUUUUGGGGCGCAAGCUUCAGAGACUAAGCGAAAGUGAUAAGUUAGCCACCUGGGGAGUACGAACGCAAGUUUGAAACUCAAAGGAAUUGACGGGGGCCCGCACAAGCGGUGGAUUAUGUGGUUUAAUUCGAUGAUACGCGAGGAACCUUACCAAGGCUUAAAUGGGAAAUGACAGGUUUAGAAAUAGACUUUUCUUCGGACAUUUUUCAAGGUGCUGCAUGGUUGUCGUCAGCUCGUGCCGUGAGGUGUUAGGUUAAGUCCUGCAACGAGCGCAACCCCUGUCACUAGUUGCCAUCAUUAAGUUGGGGACUCUAGUGAGACUGCCUACGCAAGUAGAGAGGAAGGUGGGGAUGACGUCAAAUCAUCACGGCCCUUACGCCUUGGGCCACACACGUAAUACAAUGGCCGGUACAGAGGGCAGCUACACAGCGAUGUGAUGCAAAUCUCGAAAGCCGGUCUCAGUUCGGAUUGGAGUCUGCAACUCGACUCUAUGAAGCUGGAAUCGCUAGUAAUCGCGCAUCAGCCAUGGCGCGGUGAAUACGUUCCCGGGCCUUGUACAC